GUCCUGGCUAUUAUAAACAGUGCUGCGAUGAACAUUGGGGUACACGUGUCUCUUUCAAUUCUGGUUUCCUCAGUGGGUAUGCCCAGCAGUGGGAUUGCUAGGUCAUAAGGCAGUUCUAUUUCCAAUUUUUUAAGGAAUCUCCACACUGUUCUCCAUAGUGGCUGUACUAGCUUUCAUUCCCACCAACAGUGUAAGAGGGUUCCCUUUUCUCCACAUUAAAUAUCUAUUUCUAUCAUUAGACUGCAAUGCCAUGAUGGUCAUUACUGUGCCCACUGUGUAAUCUGUAAAUUAUUGCUAAAGAUAUAAAAAGGAAUGAAUGAAUGAUUAAUCAUUGGAGGCUGCUGCUGCUGCUGCUGCUGCUGCUAAACCGCUUCAGUCUUGUCUGACUCUGUGCGACCCCAUAAACUGCAGCCUACCCGGCUCUCCUGUCCCUGGGAUUCUCCAUGCAAGAAUACUGGAGUGGGUUGCCAUUUCCUUCUCCAAUACAUGAAAGUGAAAGGUGAAAGUGAAGUCACUCAGUCGUGUCCGACUCCUAGCGAUCCCAUGGACUGCAGCCUACCAGGCUCCUCUAUCCAUGGGACCUUCCUGGCAAGAGUACUGGAGUGGGUUGCCAUUGCCUUCUCCGCACUACAGGCUAGAGGAUCUAAUAGGAUGUGGUAGGAAUAAUAUUGGAAAGGUAGAUGGGGCUAUUUGUGAGAAGCUUUGAAUGACCUGCUAGGUCAUUUGGCUUUAAACCUUAACUAGUGAGGAAGCACAGGAAACUGAUAAAACAGCAUACACAAAGGCAAGAAGAUGUUCAGCCCAGAUCUAAGUAGAACAGCAAGUAAUCCUAUUUGGUUAAAAGAAGAUAGCAUGGUGUUACCUCAGGUCACUGACUCAAAAAAGAACAAAGGGGAUCACCCAGUUUCUUCUUAUUACACACUCAACUCCCAGAUUUGGAGAACUGUUUUGCAUCUUCCUGACUUUAAUAAGAAGCUCUUCAAGGGAAGCACAAUAGCACUGAUUGGGAUCAAAUCUCUGGGCAGAGUUCCAUUUCCUAAACCAAACCUGGGAGGCAGGAGCACUUCAGCAAUGAAAUAUACUGAUUGUCAAGGACAUUUCAGGAUCAUUAGAGUAGAUAUGAAUGUUGAUUGGCAUGAUCUUAAAUGGGGUUACAGGGAGAGAACCCAGAGGAAGAGCUGGAGCAUGUGAAUAGAAAUCAGUGAUUCCCUUGUUUGGCUGACUCUCCCAUGGCAGGAUCUCAAAGGGUGGCAGGAGAUUUGCUCAUUCAUCCAGCAAAUGUUUACUGAACACAUACAAAGUGUCGAGGUACUGCCUACACUAGAUCCUAGGGAUACAAGGUUUAGGGAGUGGCCAGGGCUGCCUAGAAGUUCACAGUCUAGUUGGGGAGAAUGGCGAGGAUCAGACAUUUAGAUAAAGUAUGCUAAGUGUUCUGCUCCUAAUAAGAACAAAAUGUGAGUCCAGAGCAGUGGUCUCUAAUGCAGCAGUAGAUUCAAGAAAAGUUUCUGGGAGGAAAAAAAAGUCUUAAGUUAGAUGUUAACCCUGAGCCCAGGUUAAUCUAGUUGGAGGGAAAUGUUAUUGGUCACAAUUUUUAGAUGCAUGAAAAAUAAAAAUUAAUGCUACAGAAAGUAGUUUACCAUUAUUGCUUCUCUUCUUCUUCCCCCGCCACUUCCCCCUGCUCCUUCUACUCUUCUUCUUUCAGUUUUGUUGUUGUUGUUCAGUUGCUAAGUCAUGUCCAACUCUUUGAAACCCCAUGGACUGCAGCAUGCCAGGCUUCCCUGUCCUUCACUGUCUCCCAGAGUUUGUUUAAACUCAUGUCCAUUGAGUUGAUGAUGCCAUACAACCAUCUCAUCCUCUGUCUCCCUCUUUUCUUCAUGCCUUUUAAUCUUUCCCAGCAUCAGGGUCUUUUCCAAUGAAUCAGCUCUUCACAUCAGGUGGCCAGAAUAUUGGACCUUCAGCUUCAGUCCUUCCAGUGAAUAGUCAGGGUUGAUUACCUUUAGGAUUGACUGGUUUGAUCUCCUUGCUAUGAUUAUUACUAUUAUCAACAACAAUAGUAAUAAGAUGUAACAUUUUGAGCAGAUACCAUGAGCCGGGCAUUGUUUCAACCAUACUGUAUGUUAUGUUUAAUCUUUGCAAGCACUAUUUGAAGUAGGCACUAUUGUUAGUCAAUUUUAGAGAUGAAGAAACUGAUGUAAAGAAGUUAUUUUGCUAGAGUAAGUUUACAUAACUAAUAACUAAGGUAGAGAGUCUUUGGACUCAGUCUCUCUGACCUUGAAGCUUCUACUGUUGCUGUCUCUGUCAGAAAAUAAUAGACAAUGCCUGUUCCUUCCUACUUGUGUCACAAUUCCCUGAGCCAAAUUAUGUUUGACAGAGCCUAAAUCAUAUGCAUAUGUCUUAGCUACAGAGAGGGUUGUAAUGAACCAACAAUAUCUCAUCCCCUACGCAGUAAAACUAUCUGUCCCACAAUGAUCACAAAGUGGAAGUUUCCCUAUACUUAGAAAAGGGUUCUAUCGAUAGAUAAACAAUGACAGGGAUGAAAAAUUUUCCAGGCACAGAAAGACAUUUGCAAAGACAUAGAAGCAAUAAAGAGCAAAGAUAUUUCAACAAACUGCAGUUAGUUUGCUAUGAACAGCACUUAGAAUGAAAGUCUGGGGUGAGUAUGAGAAGGGGAUACAGAUGCAGCAGCCUUAGAUCAUCAAAGGCCUCACACUCCAUGGUGAAGGUGCUGCAUUUUAUCUCUAGGGCAAUGAAGUAAGGAGUUUUAAGCAAAGGAAUGAUGCAAUCACAUUUGCAACUGGAAAGAUUUCACUGGAUGCAGAGAACGAAGGUAAGGAGAAUGCUACCGAUAUCCAGAGCAUGACCAUGUAGUUUGUUACGUCUGAAGGGGGAUCAAUUAAAGUGUGAAGGGGAGUGCACCUAUGUGUACUAAAAAACAGUCAUUUACUGUCACCACAUUUCAAGUAAACAGAAGGGUAAGAGGAAAAGAUUGAAAGAAGAGAAAUAAAUUAUUUGCAGAAUAGUUUCACCAAGCAAAGACCUAGACUUUUAAAAACAUCUCAUUUCCUACUCAUAAUGGAAUGGUUUUAAGUUAUCCCAUUUGAACGGAAACCAGUUCCUUGAGAUUAAAUUAGUUGUCCAGGAUCGCAGUGGUAGGAAACCAAAAACUCAAACCCCAAUCCAGUUCUGCCAGACCUGAAAGCAUGAGCUCUAUCCAAUUUUCUUACCCCUUUCUUACCCCACAUACAAAAAGACUACUGUCCAUCUGCUAUAAACCAGAAUGAUGAUUAAAAACAUGUCUUUUGGAGACAGACAAGCCUAGAUUUGAAGACUGGUUAUGCCACCACAUACACAUGGACUAUACCAAGAAGCCAAAAAAGUCUUUUAAUCUAAGUCUGUUCCUUCUUCUGUAAAAUAGGAACACUAAUAUUAUGUACUUCAAGGUUUGUGGUUAGAAUUAAACAGAGUAUACAAAGUGCUUGAGUACACAAAGUAUUCAAUAUAUGACAGCUUUCAUAUUACUAAUACUUGAUAUAUUCAGUUCAGUUGUUCAGUCAUCUCCUACUCUUUGCAACCCCAUGGACUGCAGCAUGCCAGGCCUCCCUGUCCAUCGCCAACUCCCAGAGUUUACUCAAACUCACAUCCAUUGUUUUGGUGAUGCCAUGCAACCAUCUCAUUCUCUAUUGUCCCCUUCUCCUCCUGCUUUCAAUCUUUCCUAGCAUCAGGGUCUUUUCCAAUGAGUCAGUUCUUCACAUCAGGUGGCCAAAAUAUUGGAGUCUCAGCUUCAGCAUCAGUCCUUCCAAUGAAUAUCCAGGACUGAUAUAUUAGCU
ensembl:lncRNA